CGGACCCGGGGAGAACAACACAUCGUCUCUGCGCCAGGGAGAGAGGCGUCCGGGGAACCCAGCCGUGCCCACGCAUUUAUCUCCGCCUUCCGGCUCAGAAUUGUCUGGGUCACUUGCGACCCUCCUCUCAGGCUGCUUCUGACAGGCCCAAGUCACAGCCAACUUCAGGGGAGCUGUGUUGGAUCCCUCCAAACUCCGGGAAUGAUGUGACCUCCCCGGCGCUCACCCUGGGCCUCUAGGUUAGACUCAGCCCAGACCCUGGCUCACAGGGAAGCAGAGCCCAUGGCUGGCCUCCACCCGCUCAGACGCCCGCACACAGGCCAGG
rnacentral:lncRNA from 1 species